rnacentral:miRNA from 1 species
UCGACGCGGCUAAAUUUUUGCAG